rnacentral:rRNA from 1 species
UACGUAGGGAGCAAGCGUUGUUCGGAUUUACUGGGCGUAAAGGGCGCGUAGGCGGCAUGGCAAGUGGAAGGUGAAAUCCCUCGGCUCAACUGAGGAACUGCCCUCCAAACUGCUUUGCUUGAGUCCGGGAGAGGUGAGUGGAAUUCCCAGUGUAGCGGUGAAAUGCGUAGAUAUUGGGAGGAACACCAGUGGCGAAGGCGGCUCACUGGACCGGAACUGACGCUGAGGCGCGAAAGCGUGGGGAGCAAACGGG